rnacentral:rRNA from 1 species
UACGUAGGGACCAAGCGUUGUUCGGAUUUACUGGGCGUAAAGGGCGCGUAGGCGGCAACUCAAGUCAGCUGUGAAAUCUCCGGGCUUAACUCGGAACGGUCAGCUGAUACUGCUUUGCUAGAGUACAGAAGGGGCAAUCGGAAUUCUUGGUGUAGCGGUGAAAUGCGUAGAUAUCAAGAGGAACACCUGAGGUGAAGACGGGUUGCUGGGCUGAUACUGACGCUGAGGCGCGAAAGCUAGGGUAGCAAACGGG